GACGAACGCUGACGGUGUGCUUUAGACAUGCAAGUCGAACGAGAAAGCCCUUCGGGUUAGUAAAGUGGCGAACGGGUGAGUAACACGUGGGCAAUCUGCCCCUCGCAGGGGGACAACCGGAGGAAACUCCGGCUAAUACCCCGUAAGUUCAAAGGGAGGCAUCUCUCUUCGAAGAAAGGUAGCUUCGGCCAUCCGGCGAGGGAUGAGCCCGCGGUGCAUUAGCUAGUUGGUGGGGUAACGGCCUACCAAGGCGACGAUGCAUAGCUGGUCUGAGAGGAUGAUCAGCCACACUGGGACUGAGACACGGCCCAGACUCCUACGGGAGGCAGCAGUCGGGAAUCUUGCGCAAUGGGCGAAAAGCCUGACGCAGCAACACCGUGUGUGUGAGGAAGGCCCUCGGGUCGUAAAAGCACUGUUGGUGGGGGACGAAGGGCGAAGGGUUAAUAGCUCCUAGCUUGACGGUACCCUUCGAGGAA
rnacentral:rRNA from 1 species